UAAUGUGCGAAAAGUAAUGCGAAUUGCAUGCUCUGCGAGUCAUCUAGUCUUUGAACGCAAAUGGCACUGUCAUGUCAAGUGAUAGUAUGCCCGUUUGAGAACCACAUAAACAAUCACCAUCAGUUGAUGGUGGAUCUGCGGGUAGUGUGCGUGCGUGCACUCUUGCUAAAUGCAUGUACCUGAUGUUGUGCACUGCAGCAAUGUGAUAGUCAUUCAUUGCGGGUGGCGGCUAUCCCAGGUAUCAUCAUAUCACCAUCGUGGUCUGGUCAUGAUGGUCUCUCAUUCGUGUAUCACAUGCGUGUGUGAUCGUCAUCGUCAUAUGCCAUCAUCAUGGUCUCAAAUCGGGCAAGGCUACCCGCUGAACUUAA
rnacentral:misc_RNA from 1 species